rnacentral:rRNA from 1 species
ACACAGGUGUAAGAAAAAAUGCAGUUAAGCACUUUUCAUUCCUAAAAGGGAAACUUCCGUAGAGAGACCUGCGGAAGGAUCAUUA